AUUGAACGCUGGCGGCAGGCUUAACACAUGCAAGUCGAGCGGGGGAAGGUAGCUUGCUACCGGACCUAGCGGCGGACGGGUGAGUAAUGCUUAGGAAUCUGCCUAUUAGUGGGGGACAACAUCUCGAAAGGGAUGCUAAUACCGCAUACGUCCUACGGGAGAAAGCAGGGGAUCACUUGUGACCUUGCGCUAAUAGAUGAGCCUAAGUCGGAUUAGCUAGUUGGUGGGGUAAAGGCCUACCAAGGCAACGAUCUGUAGCGGGUCUGAGAGGAUGACCGUCCACACUGGGACUGAGACACGGCCCCGCCUCCUCCGGGAGUCAGCGGUGAGGAAUAUUGGACAAUGGGUGGAACCCUGAUCCAGCCAUGCCGCGUGUGUAAAGAAGGCCUUAUGGUUUUAAAGCACUUUAAGCGAGGAGUAGGCUCUUUUGGUUAAUCCCCAAGAUGAGUGGACGUUACUCGCAGAAUAAGCCCCGGCUAACUCUGUGCCAGCCGCCGCGGUAA
rnacentral:rRNA from 1 species